GUGGUGGCUUAGUGGUAGAAUGCUUGCCUAGCAUGUGCAAGGCACUGGGAUCGAUUCUCAGCACCACA
rnacentral:tRNA from 1 species